GACGAACGCUGGCGGCGUGCCUAACACAUGCAAGUCGAACGGGGAGUUACUUGUAACUCCUAGUGGCGAACGGGUGAGUAACGCGUAGACAACCUACCUCUAAAAUGGGGACAACACCGCGAAAGUGGUGCUAAUACCGAAUGUGGUAUCUUGGUCGCAUGACUAAGAUAAGAAAGAUGGCCUCUACAUGUAAGCUAUCGUUUAGAGAUGGGUCUGCGUCUGAUUAGCUAGUUGGUGAGGUAAUGGCUCACCAAGGCAACGAUCAGUAGCCGGUCGGAGAGGAUGGACGGCCACACUGGGACUGAGACACGGCACAGACGCCUACGGGAGGCAGCAGUGGGGAAUCUACCGCAAUGGACGAAAGUCUGACGGAGCAACGCCGCGUGAGUGAAGAAGGUCUUCGGAUUGUAAAACUCUGUCGUUUGGGACGAACGUAUCCUGGGUAAAUAAUCCAGGGUAAUGACGGUACCAAAGGAGGAAGCCACGGCUAACUACGUGCCAGCCGCCGCCGUAA
rnacentral:rRNA from 1 species